CUGCCACACUCCCUGUGACAUUGGAACAGCUCAGGUGUCCUGAAGACAAGGCUUUGUCGUCAUCUCUUUGCUAUAUAUCCUUCACCAGACAACCUAAAUGCAAUUUUUGAACGUCAGUUUGUUCAGUAUCAUACAGUGCCAAGGCUAUUAUCCUCAGGGAACAGAUGGAAAAAUGGAGAGAAAGGAGAUGAGGCCACUUCCUGGAGUCCCGAGCACAAGGAUCCUGCACAAACACACCCAGCUCUGCGUAUUCCUUCCAGGAGAGGGCAGGGGAAUACAGCUUAUUGCAGAUCUGCUCCUGAACCACAGCCAGCAUUACUCAUGGCCCAGAUCUUCCUGUAUGUCCUCCAGUCUAUUUUGGUUAUUUGAACGCAGUAGAGCCCCCUCAGAAAUGGGAAGUCGUCUGUAACACAAUACUGCACAACCGACAGAAGAUGGGAAAACCUGAGGCAGGAAAAAUGAGCCUUGGGCCAGCCACAGAUGGGAAGGCAAUGUGUGGGCAGAGCCAAACAGCGCUGAGCACAGAGCCGAUGAGCCUUUUGCUCCUUCUCCCACCUUUAUCGGUUCUGUGCAUAACAGCUUGGGAUCAACAUCAGCCUGCAGUUUCUUUUUGACUUGAUAAUGCUGUGCUAUUAUUAUCUCCAGGAAAAUGUUAAAAGGCUCCAGUGCUGAGCUGUGUUUGCCUUUCCUGAUUGGAUCUUUAGCACACAGCCAUGAGACAAAGGACAAUGAAAAGUCCCUUAACCUCACCUCGGCCCUGUGUUUGGCGGGCACAGGAAUGCCACAGAGGCUGUCUGAGCAGGAAAACCAGUCUGACUGAAAUUCCCUCCCGAAAGGUGGCAAAAAGAACAUGGAAAAUCCCCAGGCAGGAUCAAGGGCCAGAGGUGUGAACAGGUUUUAAAAGGACUCCCAGUGAAGAGAUGAACAGGGAAGGAACUGUCUUAACAAUGCACAAAAAGCGUGAGAUGGGGAGAAGACAACUGCAUCUUACAGCAUGGAGCAGGGGUGAGUUUUGCUGCAGUACCAAAUGAAGCCAUCGAGCAGAAGAAAGCUGAUCCAAAGCCAUCGGUGACAGCAGCACGGAUCUCUCUAACCCUAACCUGACAGCCUGCCCCAGGCCAGCAGUCAUUGCACCGGGAGUUGGCAGUCAGAAGUGACCAGAAGUCAUUGCAUUGAUGUAGAUACAUGCAUUUCUUCUGCCGUUAAGCAAAACCUCACAGUGAAUCUGACACCAAGAGCAAAGCUCAGCUGUGUGCCAGUUGCUUUCACUGUCACAGGGCUUCAAGGAAUUGAUCAGAAAAUCAGUUCACAGCUUGAGAGGUGCACAGCACUGCCACUGUCGCAUGUAAAUCUCCACUUUGGUUUAAGCCCA
rnacentral:lncRNA from 1 species